GAUGAACGCUGACAGAAUGCUUAACACAUCAGCAAUUGAUUGGUGGCGGACGGGUGAGUAACGCGUAAAGAACUUGCCUCACAGGUAGGAACAACAUUUGGAAACGACUGCUAAUACCUAAUACUGUGAGAGAGCUUUGCGUCCCAUUAGCUAGUGGGAGAGGUAACGGCUCACCAAGGCGAGGAUGGGUAGCCGGCCUGAGAGGGUGAUCGGCCACAAGGGGACUGGGACACCGCCAUUACGCAUACGGGAGGAAGCGGCGGGGAAUAUUGGACAAUGGACCAAAGUAUGAUCCAGCAAUUCUGUGUGCACGAUGAAUUUUUCGGAAUGAAAAGUGCUUUCAGUUGGGAAGCGGUACCAACAGAAGAAGUGACGGCUAAAUACGUGCCAGCAGCCGCGGUAAUUC
rnacentral:rRNA from 1 species